rnacentral:rRNA from 1 species
ACGAACGCUGGCGGCGUGCUUAACACAUGCAAGUCGAACGGAAAGGCCCUGCUUUUGUGGGGUGCUCGAGUGGCGAACGGGUGAGUAACACGUGAGUAACCUGCCCUUGACUUUGGGAUAACUUCAGGAAACUGGGGCUAAUACCGGAUAGGAGCUCCUGCUGCAUGGUGGGGGUUGGAAAGUUUCGGCGGGUGGGGAUGGACUCGCGGCUUAUCAGCUUGUUGGUGGGGUAGUGGCUUACCAAGGCUUUGACGGGUAGCCGGCCUGAGAGGGUGACCGGCCACAUUGGGACUGAGAUACGGCCCAGACUCCUACGGGAGGCAGCAGUGGGGAAUAUUGCACAAUGGGCGGAAGCCUGAUGCAGCAACGCCGCGUGCGGGAUGACGGCCUUCGGGUUGUAAACCGCUUUCGCCUGUGACGAAGCGUGAGUGACGGUAAUGGGUAAAGAAGCACCGGCUAACUACGUG